UNCUGCUGUGCCCAGUUUCUAUCGGCUGGA
rnacentral:piRNA from 1 species